UUAAAUUGAAGAGUUUGAUCAUGGCUCAGAUUGAACGCUGGCGGCAGGCCUAACACAUGCAAGUCGAGCGGUAGCACAGAGAGCUUGCUCUCGGGUGACGAGCGGCGGACGGGUGAGUAAUGUCUGGGAAACUGCCUGAUGGAGGGGGAUAACUACUGGAAACGGUAGCUAAUACCGC
rnacentral:rRNA from 1 species